AGUCUGGCAGGGACCCCGUGGGGCUCUGCCUUUGCUGGAAGAUCCUGUGCAGGGACCUCGCCUGGCUCCGUGGUGGCAGCCUGAUGGACGUGGUGUCUCCCCAUGAGGACAGCACAGAGCUGCAGGAUCAGCCGUGAGCUCAGCAUGACCACCAACACAUCAGCAAGGCCAGCAAUUUCAAGGUGCCAGAGCAGCUCCUCUCUUUCCUGGCAGUAAUGGGCAGCAGGCUGCAGACCUGGUGCAGAAUACCUCAUCCCCGGAGCGGGGGCCAAGUGUCAGCUGUGGCGCAGAUCCAGAGCAGCUCGGGGAGACCUGUACUGCUGCCCUCCUCUGCUGGGGUCCAGAUGCAGCUUGGUGCUGCCCAGGUACCUGCCUGGGGCUGGCGCUGGCUUGGGGCCACAGGGGUGCCCCAAAGAACCCCUGCUGAGGAUGAACCCCUUGUAGCACAUGGC